GUCCGAUUUUCAGUGGGGUCCCGCACCGACGGGACGUGGCUUAGGAGGAAUCCCAGGCUGUGGGCAUUCCUUGGACCAGUGGCCAGAUUUCCGGCACAUGUAGCAAGCUCCUGGGGGAGGAGCGGAGGCUGAGGAAUAAUUGGGACCUAGCUCAGCCUAGCGAGGAGGGGAGAGGUCAGAUGGGUCUGUAGAAAAGGAAGAUUAGAAAGACUCAGUGACGGUUGGGGUU
rnacentral:lncRNA from 1 species